GGGGGAUAACCCCGGGAAACUGGGGAUAAUACUCCAUAGACUAUGGAUGCUGGAAUGCUCUGUAAUUGAAAGUUCCGCCGCCCUAGGAUGGGUCUGCGGCCGAUUAGGUUGUUGUUGGGGUAACGGCCCAACAAGCCUGUAAUCGGUACGGGUUGUGGGAGCAAGAGCCCGGAGAUGGAUUCUGAGACACGAAUCCAGGCCCUACGGGGCGCAGCAGGCGCGAAAACUUUACAAUGCGGGAAACCGUGAUAAGGGGACUCCGAGUGCCCGUAAAAUCGGGCUGUCCAUCUGUUUAAAAAACAGGUGAAGAAAGGGCCGGGCAAGACCGGUGCCAGCCGCCGCGGUAAUACCGGCGGCUCGAGUGGUGGCCACUAUUACUGGGCUUAAAGCGUUCGUAGCUGGUUUGUUAAGUCUCUGGGGAAAUCUGCCGGCUCAACCGGUGGGCGUUCCAGGGAUACUGGCAAACUAGGGAUCGGGAGAGGUGAGGGGUACUCCAGGGGUAGGAGUGAAAUCCUGUAAUCCUUGGGGGACCACCUGUGGCGAAGGCGCCUCACCAGAACGGCUCCGACAGUGAGGGACGAAAGCUGGGGGAGCAAACCGGAUUAGAUACCCGGGUAGUCCCAGCCGUAAACGAUGCGCGUUAGGUGUAUCGGUGACCACGAGUCACCGAGGUGCCGAAGAGAAAUCGUGAAACGUGCCGCCUGGGAAGUACGGUCGCAAGGCUGAAACUUAAAGGAAUUGGCGGGGGAGCACCACAACAGGUGGAGCCUGCGGUUUAAUCGGACUCAACGCCGGAAAUCUCACCGGAUAAGACAGCGGGAUGAUAGUCGGGCUGAAGACUUUACUUGACCAGCUGAGAGGAGGUGCAUGGCCGUCGUCAGUUCGUACUGUGAAGCAUCCUGUUAAGUCAGGCAACGAGCGAGACCCCGUGCC
rnacentral:rRNA from 1 species